UCACUGGACAGUCAUUUCAUGUCUCUGAGC
rnacentral:piRNA from 1 species